rnacentral:misc_RNA from 1 species
UUUCCGUAGGUGAACCUGCGGAAGGAUCAUUCAUAAUAAGUGUUUUAUGGCACUUUUUUAAAUCCAUAUCCACCUUGUGUGCAAUGUCAGGGUUGGUCUCUUUUUGAUCAGCCCCAAACAUCAACUAUUAUCUCAACUCUUUGUCUGAGAAAUAUUAUGAAUAAAACAAUUCAAAAUACAACUUUCAACAACGGAUCUCUUGGUUCUG